rnacentral:rRNA from 1 species
UACGUAGGGGGCAAGCGUUGUCCGGAAUCAUUGGGCGUAAAGAGCGUGUAGGCGGUUCGGUAAGUCGGCUGUGAAAGUCCAGGGCUCAACCCUGGGAUGCCGGUCGAUACUGCCGGACUAGAGUUCGGAAGAGGCGAGUGGAAUCCUGGUGUAGCGGUGGAAUGCGCAGAUAUCAGGAGGAACACCGGUGGCGAAGGCGGGUCUCUGGGCAGUAACUGACGCUGAGGAGCGAAAGCGUGGGGAGCGAACAGG